GACGAACCGUGCGAACGUUGUUCGGAAUCACUGGGCAUAAAGGGCGCGUAGGCGGCUUUUCAAGUCAGGGGUGAAAUCCGGCAGCUCAACUGUCGAAGUGCCUUUGAUACUGGGGAGCUCGAGGGAGGUAGGGGUGUGUGGAACUUCCGGUGGAGCGGUGAAAUGCGUUGAUAUCGGAAGGAACGCCGGUGGCGAAAGCGGUGUACUGGGGCUUAACUGACGCUGAGGCACGAAAGCCAGGGGAGCGAACGGG
rnacentral:rRNA from 1 species